rnacentral:tRNA from 1 species
CGUGGUGGCAGGCGGCGGCGCCAUCAGCUUCUACGGGGAGUUGUCGGUACGCGGGCGCCUGGAGUCCGGCACGAUCGCCGCCGUGCCGUUGCGC